GUAGGGAAUAUUGGGCAAUGGAGGCAACUCUGACCCAGCCAUGCCGCGUGCAGGAAGACGGUCCUCUGGAUUGUAAACUGCUUUUGAAUGGGAAGAAACGUAGCUUUGCGAAGCUAUUUGACGGUACUAUUAGAAUAAGCACCGGCUAACUCCGUGCCAGCAGCCGCGGUAAUACGGAGGGUGCAAGCGUUAUCCGGAUUUAUUGGGUUUAAAGGGUGCGUAGGCGGCUUUAUAAGUCUGGGGUUAAAGGCGGCAGCUUAACUGUACGCAUGCCCUGGAAACUGUGAAGCUUGAGUGACUUGGAGGUAGCUAGAAGUCCCUGUGUAGCGGUGAAAUGCAUAGAUACGGGGAGGAAUACCGAUUGCGAAGGCAUGUUACUACGAGUAAACUGACGCUGAUGCACGAAAGCGUGGGGAUCAAACAGGAUUAGAAACCCGUGUAGUCC
rnacentral:rRNA from 1 species